rnacentral:rRNA from 1 species
UACGGAGGGUGCAAGCGUUGUUCGGAAUUACUGGGCGUAAAGCGCGUGUAGGCGGUUGGGCAAGUCAGAUGUGAAAGCCCUCUGCUUAACGGAAGAAGUGCAUUUGAAACUACCCGGCUGGAGUACGGGAGAGGAGAGUGGAAUUCCCGGUGUAGAGGUGAAAUUCGUAGAUAUCGGGAGGAACACCAGUGGCGAAGGCGGCUCUCUGGUCCGAUACUGACGCUGAGACGCGAAAGCGUGGGGAGCAAACAGG